rnacentral:rRNA from 1 species
GCUUACGGCCAUACCAGCCUGGGUACGCCCGAUCUCGUCUGAUCUAAUAAGCUAAGCAGGGUCGUGCCUGGUUAGUACUUGGAUGGGAGACCGCCUGGCAAUACCAGGUGCUGUAAGCA